UGUGAAGGUGCCAUAUGUGCCCAAUUGCGAAGCAGCGAGCUGGACAUAGAUGUUGCUAUUUUAAGCGAGCAGUGUAAAAACAGUGGACGUACUUAAUGACGCUAAGCAAAGAAACUCGACACUUAUAACAGGUAAUUUUAAUGCGAGGGCAGCAUUGUGGUAAAAGAAAAAACUCGAAGGGCAAGAAGUUUCUGAAUGCGCUAGCAGUGCUUGACUUAGUUCUACUCAACAGUGGCACAGAAAACACAUUCAGCAAAAUUGUACUGGUUCCAUCAUAGACCUCUCAUUUAUAAAUAGGGUACUGAAAACGAGAGAUGGCACAUGACGAUACAAGAACUGCCCAAGCCAGAAAUAUAAAUAGCGACCCUCGUAUUCCCAACAUCAAUAUACCAGCAGAUUAUAAUGAAGUUACGUUUCCUCACGGCAACUGGAUUUCCCGGCAUCUUAGAAGUUAUGCAGACUGCGUUCAAGUCGAAUUGAGCAUAUAAGGUGGCGCCA